rnacentral:rRNA from 1 species
AAUUGCGNAUGGAGGAAAUCUGACGCAGCCAUGCCGCGUGCAGGANGANUGCCCUACGGGUUGUAAACUGCUUUUNUACAAGAAGANACCUUNGUACGUGUACUAAAUUGACGGUAUUGUAAGAUUAAGCACCGGCUAACUCCGUGCCAGCAGCCGCGGGUAAUAU